rnacentral:rRNA from 1 species
GACGAACGCUGGCGGCGUGCCUAAUACAUGCAAGUCGAGCGGACAGAAGGGAGCUUGCUCCCGGAUGUUAGCGGCGGACGGGUGAGUAACACGUGGGCAACCUGCCUCAAAGAGGGGGAUAACACCGAGAAAUCGGUGCUAAUACCGCAUAACAUACAGACACUGCAUGGUGACUGUAUCAAAGGAGCAAUCCGCUUUGAGCUGGGCCCGCGGCUGAUUAGCUAGUUGGUGAGGUAAUGGCUCACCAAGGCGACGAUCAGUAGCCGACCUGAGAGGGUGACCGGCCACACUGGAACUGAGACACGGUCCAGACUCCUACGGGAGGCAGCAGUGGGGAAUAUUGCGCAAUGGGGGAAACCCUGACGCAGCAACGCCGCGUGGAGGAAGAAGGUCUUCGGAUUGUAAACUCCUGUCUUCUGGGACGAUAAUGACGGUACCAGAGGAGGAAGCCACGGCUAACUACGUGCCAGCAGCCGCCGUAAGAC